rnacentral:misc_RNA from 1 species
UCUCAACCAUCACAGUCACAGAACAAAUUGAUUCAGUUGUAUGUGGACCCAAGCAACUCUCCUUCGCCCUAUUACCAACACCAUGGACUCGUCGGAAAGCCAAGUUCCGCUUUCUUUUCUCCAGUUGCCAUGGAACCCAUGCCAAUGCAGGCUCCAGCCGGUCUGACAGCCGCCCAAACUGCUCGUCACAACAGAAUCCAGAACAUGAUCCAGAGAAAGUUUCCACAAAACAACCCCAGACCUAGUCCUUACCAACGACAGGUCACCAGCAUGCAACUUCCGGGCCAGCCUAGAACUAUGCCAAAGCAAAUGCAACUGCCAGGACAACAACCGGCAACACAAAUGCAAUUGCCUGGAAAACGACCAACAGUACAUGGACCUCAGCCUAAUGUUGCACAGCGCCAACAACAACAAAAACAACCGCAGUCUGUUGUUAGAACAAAUCCCAAGAUCAUUCAGAGGAGACUGACUGUUUUUAAACUGGCGAAACCCUUCAAACCUAGUCCCAUCAACAUGCCUGUACAGCCUUCAUUCUCUGCGCCACGCUUUAAUUACUUGGGAUAAAAUCGUUGCAAAUGGGAAUUUUUAUUCCAUUAUUUCCUCCUGAAGUGGAUAACCUGUUUUGUGGUGGCUGCAAAGAUGAAGGGAAAAUAAGUACUGUUUUGAACAGUGGUGACUGUUUAAAAACUUUUCGUCAUUGUUUAAAGAUUUUAUCCAUUUGAUUAUAUUCUAUUCGGAAUAUUGUUCAGUAAGAUAAAUUUAUUACGUUUAAUUAAAUUUUCUCGGCGGUUUAUCUUGCCACCUACUUUACAUAAUUACUUUUAAAAAAGGAAGCAAAAAACUCGAAUUGUCAGCGAGUCGGGCUUGCUAAUCCAACAAGCCCGUCAGAAACACUUGUCAUAAAUAUGAUCUUUUAACAUUGUGGUUUUUAUUUUGCAUGGCAUUAUCGUGAUGCUGGCUAAUUACGACAAUGUCAGUUUCGUACUUUCGACUGCGCAAGUUUUGAACAGCAUUCUGCAUUAAACUGGUGUUCGUUCUUAACACGAUAAAAUGAAGCAGUCUCACAACGUUUGUUUGCUAUUCAAGCAGCAGCAAAGCUGAUAAUGAAAUCCUGUCCAUAUGGAAUGAGUUUCGCCCCUUUUUUCUAAAAUAAAUACGAAGUAUUAUUUUAGAGAAACUUGUUGAUUAUGUGUCUUUUUCGCAAAAAAACCCUCUUGUUUUGUGUUCUAUGUCUCAGUCACAUUUGAUGAGUUGUUCUAUUUAUUUUGUUUAUGUUUAUGUUAUAGAUUAUUUUUUCAGGUUUUUUGUGACCUCGAAAAUAAAAGUAAUUGAAAU